rnacentral:rRNA from 1 species
CGGCAUUAAGUGCUUGCACUUUUUGGACGUCGACCGGCGCACGGGUGAGUAACGCGUAUCCAACCUUCCCUGACUAAGGGAUAACCUGCCGAAAGGCAGACUAAUACCUUAUGGUCUUCACUGACGGCAUCAGAUGUGAAGUAAAGAUUUAUCGGUUAUGGAUGGGGAUGCGUCUGAUUAGCUUGUUGGCGGGGUAACGGCCCACCAAGGCAACGAUCAGUAGGGGUUCUGAGAGGAAGGUCCCCCACAUUGGAACUGAGACACGGUCCAAACUCCUACGGGAGGCAGCAGUGAGGAAUAUUGGUCAAUGGGCGAGAGCCUGAACCAGCCAAGUAGCGUGCAGGAUGACGGCCCUAUGGGUUGUAAACUGCUUUUGUAUGGGGAUAAAGUCAAUCACGUGUGAUUGUUUGCAGGUACCAUACGAAUAAGGACCGGCUAAUUCCGUGCCAGCAGCCGCGGUAAUACGGAAGGUCCGGGCGUUAUCCGGAUUUAUUGGGUUUAAAGGGAGCGUAGGCUGGAGAUUAAGUGUGUUGUGAAAUGUAGACGCUCAACGUCUGACUUGCAGCGCAUACUGGUUUCCUUGAGUACGCACAACGUUGGCGGAAUUCGUCGUGUAGCGGUGAAAUGCUUAGAUAUGACGAAGAACUCCGAUUGCGAAGGCAGCUGACGGGAGCGCAACUGACGCUGAAGCUCGAAGGUGCGGGUAUCGAACAGGAUUAGAUACCCUGGUAGUCCGCACAGUAAACGAUGGAUGCCCGCUGUUGGUACUUGGUAUCAGCGGCUAAGCGAAAGCAUUAAGCAU